rnacentral:lncRNA from 9 species
AGAUGGGCGAUGACUUCGUGUGAGAAGAAACUGUCCACGUGUCCAGAGCAGAACAUCAAACAUAACAGAGGAAACUCACAGCCUCGCCUGUCUCUGGAGAUGAAACUACCAUGUGUAUUACCAGCCCACAAAGAAGCCAAAGUGAGGGAACAGAGGACCCGAAUGAAAAGUGAAUCUCACAGCUCCUGGGGUGACUGCCUAGAAAAGCAACUCACUCACCAACCCCUUCAGAUCCAAUGGAUGGACAUGGGUACUGUUAUUCUAGGCAAUAACCCAGGAGACCACCAUCACACUCGUACCGAGAUCUCCUGACUCCAGCUUUGGUGACUAAGAUUCCCCCAAAGAAAGAAGAAUGCAUGUUUGUAGCAAUCCUGAUUCCUAUCUGAAAACCUGUUUUUCUCCUUUGUACUGUGAAACUCCUAACAAUUCUUUCCAAUGGGGGGCGGGGGCACAGUCUUUAGGGCAUUAGCCUGCUGUCACCCUCCUUUGCCCAGCAAAGCAAGAAAGCUAAUUUUUUCUCCUUUACCCAAAACUCUGUCUCUGCAUUUCAAUUCAGCAACAGCAGACAGAGGCCAAAUUACAGCAACACUAGGAAAUAACGUCUACAAAGAUCAAGAGUUCCACCGACACUAGACCAGAAGUGAGCAAUGUGGAGUCCAGUCCGAUGUGACUGAGCCAAAGGACUUAAAGUUUUGAGGCCAGGAGAUAGGAGUAAAGAGGCACCUUGCAGCCUCUGUGAUGUGUAUUUGGUAUUACACCUUUACCACGUACAUUAUUAUUCCAAGCUCUCAAAAGAAUCCUCAACACAAACCCAGGAAACAGGUGCAGUCUUUAUUUUGCAAAUGAGGAGACUGAAGCACAAAGAGGGUAAGUUGCCUAAAGUGACCCACCCAGUAAGUGAAGGAAUCUGGUUCCGGAAUCUAGGCUCUUAGAGGGUGGCUUUGAAUUCUGAAGUCUGGUGUUUGUAUAUGUUCAGUAAAAUAAGAUUCAACGAAGAGAAGAAGAUACCCAGGUUUAUCCUACCCACAGGACUAAUGGUAACAGCGAAAAUGGAUACUGCCCUUAAUUGUAACUUGCAGGCAUUCAACAUUUCACAAGCGGUGUAAUCCUCUCAACAGCCCAUGGGCUAGUCAUUCUGCCCAGUUAACUUCAGUGAGGAAAACUUAGGCUCAUAGAGAUGAAAUAACUUGACUCUCCUACUAAGAGAAGUAAGUCAGAAAGAAAAAGACAAAUACCAUAUGAUAUCACAUAUUUGGAACCUAAUAUAUGGCAUAAAUGAACAUAUCUAUAGCUAUCUCAUGGAUUUGGAGAAGACUUGUGUUUGCCAAGGGGAAGGGGGAGAGAGUGGGAUGGACUGGGAAUCUGGGAUUAAUAGAUGUGAACUAUUGCCUUUGGAAUGGAUAAGCAAUGAGAUCCUGCCGUAUAGCGCAGGGAAUUAUAGCUAAUCACUUGUGAUGGAACAUGAUGGAGGACAAUGUGAAAAAAAUGCGUAUAAAUGCAUAACUGGAUGACUUUGCUGCACAGCAGAAAUUGACAGAACAUUGUAAACCAACUAUAAUAAAUUUUUUAAAUUUCUUAAAAAAAAA